AGUGAACGCUGGCGGCGUGCUUAAUACAUGCAAGUCGAACGAUGAAGUCCUAGCUUGCUAGGAUGGAUUAGUGGCGCACGGGUGAGUAAUAUAUAGUUAAUCUGCCUUGCACUGAGGAACAACAGUUGGAAACGAUUGCUAAUACCUCAUACUCCAACUUUACAUAAGUUAAGCUGGGAAAGUCUUUUCGGUGCAAGAUGAGACUAUAUCGUAUCAGCUAGUUGGUAAGGUAAUGGCUUACCAAGGCUAUGACGCGUAACUGGUCUGAGAGGAUGAUCAGUCACAUUGGAACUGAGACACGGUCCAAACUCCUACGGGAGGCAGCAGUAAGGAAUAUUGUGCAAUGGGGGAAACCCUGACGCAGCAACGCCGCGUGGAGGAUGACACUUUUCGGAGCGUAAACUCCUUUUGUUAGGGAAGAAUAAUGACGGUACCUAACGAAUAAGCACCGGCUAGCUCCGUG
rnacentral:rRNA from 1 species